AGAAAAGUGACCGCCGCCCCGCGCAGGGGCGACGCUGAUAGACCGUUAGCGCAACAGGUUCAACGACGAAGCGCGGAUCACCGACAAAAAACCCACGCCCCCGCGAGCCACUCC
rfam:Burkholderia pseudomallei 1710b chromosome I, complete sequence.